rnacentral:rRNA from 1 species
AAUCAACGCUGGCGGCGUGCCUAACACAUGCAAGUCGAACGAGAAAGGGGCUUCGGCUCCGAGUAAAGCGGCGGACGGGUGAGUAACACGUGGGUGAUCUGCCCUCCAGUGGGGGAUAACAUACCGAAAGGUGUGCUAAUACCGCACGGAGUUCCGGUUGUCGCGAUCGGAAUGAAAGCAGCAAUGCGCUGGAGGAGGAGCCCGCGUCGGAUUAGCUAGUUGGUGGGGUAACGGCCCACCAAGGCUACGAUCCGUAGCCGGCCUGAGAGGGUGACCGGCCACACUGGAACUGAGACACGGUCCAGACUCCUACGGGAGGCAGCAGUGGGGAAUUUUGCGCAAUGGGGGAAACCCUGACGCAGCAACGCCGCGUGGACGAUGAAGGCCUUUGGGUCGUAAAGUCCUGUCAGCAGGGAAAAACACAAUGAUGGUACCUGCAGAGGAAGCUCCGGCUAACUUCGUGCCAGCAGCCGCAGUAAGAC